CCUACGGGUGGCAGCAGUGAGGAAUAUUGGUCAAUGGGCGAGAGCCUGAACCAGCCAAGUCGCGUGAGGGAGUACUGCCCUAUGGGUUGUAAACCUCUUUUGUCGGGGAGCAAAAGCCGGAAGUGUUCGGCUUUGAGAUUUACCGAAGAAACAGCAUCGGCUAACUCCGUGCCAGCAGCCGCGGUAAUACGGAGGAUGCGAGCGUUAUCCGGAUUUAUUGGGUUUAAAGGGAGCGUAGGUGGUUUGUUAAGUCAGUUGUGAAAGUUUGCGGCUCAACCGUAAAAUUGCAGUUGAGACUGGCAGUCUUGAGUACAGUAGAGGUGGGCGGAAUUCGUGGUGUAGCGGUGAAAUGCUUAGAUAUCACGAAGAACUCCGAUUGCGAAGGCAGCUCACUGGACUGCAACUGACGCUGAGGCUCGAAAGUGUGGGUAUCAAACAGGAUUAGAUACCCCAGUAGUC
rnacentral:rRNA from 1 species